rnacentral:rRNA from 1 species
UACGUAGGGUCCGAGCGUUAAUCGGAAUUACUGGGCGUAAAGGGCGCGUAGGCGGUUCGAUAAGUCCCGUGUGAAAUCCCUCGGCUCAACUGAGGAAUGGCACGGGAAACUGACGGGCUUGAGUUCGGGAGAGGGAAGCGGAAUUCCGGGUGUAGCGGUGAAAUGCGUAGAUAUCCGGAGGAACACCGGUGGCGAAGGCGGCUUCCUGGACCGACACUGACGCUGAGGCGCGAAAGCUAGGGGAGCAAACGGG